CUGAAUUGGACUUGGCUUGAGUUCCACUUCAGUACCACUACCUGAUAACCCAUAAGAAGACAUUUUUAAAGUACUUUAACAAUAGUUUUAAAGGUAAAUUUCCCAGUUCCAUUUCAGUACCAAAAUGCACCAAAUUAGUACUGAGUUGGUACUGAGAUCUCAGUUCCAAUUUUCCAGUACCGAUCCAGUACCACCCUUCCGGUAGGGCCAUACCUGACCCUAACGACAGAUGGCCUUUUCCUAUGAUUUAGAAACGGCAACCACUGCGGAAGAGUUAUUAUAUGGUCCAGGAAUCGAUGACUCUUUGUAACUUAGAAACAAAAUUUCUUCUGAACAAAAAAAAACGAAGUAUACUUGCAGAAUGCUGGUCACCGCAAUUCGCCUUUUUUCUUAAGACGCCACUUCAAUGGCUCAUAUCUCCAAAAGUUUUUGUUAAAAAAAUUUUUUUUUUCUUUUAAAUUACAGCUUUUUACAUGUACUUUUAACUAAUAAAUAGUAUUCUUUAAAAAGAUUCAUUGUUCUUUUGGAAAAUAUUCUUGAAAAAAGCAUUAUUUUUUGAGUUACAACUGGUGUU